UCUACACAGGUUGUUAGUGGUACAGGUCUUUCUGGGCUUGGGGAUAGCUGAGGAAGAAGGCAACCAGCUCAGAGAGUGAACAGAAACCAUGGCAACAUUUCAAUCACACGCUCUCUGAUAAUGCACCGUGAGGAAGGAAUGGCAGCAGGUACAGGUUGCUGAGGUCCUGGGGGCACUGAUGAGCCUUAGUGACCCUAAAGAGCCUCACCUGAGGCCUCCAGCCACACCUUAUACUUAAACCAGCUCUGGGCUCUUGCUCCCUGUUUGAGCUUUGUGGAAGGAAUGUUCCUCUUCAGCGCUGUCUGUGCUAGUGUAGUUUCCUGAUCUAGACUCAGUCUCUGGACUGACCUCCUGGCUAUCUGUGCUGGUGUAGUUUCCUGACCUAGACUCAGUCUCUGGACUGACCUCCUGGCUUGACUUUGUCUACCAUUAGGGCCCAGCUUGGACCUUCUCUUCCUGAAUACCCUUGGAGCUACGUCUUGACCAGUGAGGACUUUCUUCUUCUUGCUGUGGGAUACCUUUGGAGGCUAAGCCUGGUUUUGCUACAGCCUGAUGCAUGGAGGUUCCUGGAAGGCUUCCCAGCAGCCUGAUGCAGGAGAGCAACUCCCAGCCAACUGGAGGCACAAGAUGUAUGUGGAAAUGGGAUGAGAGGCUUCUAAAACAGGAGGUGGAGAAAGUGCACUGCAUUCAAAAUCCAUUAGCAGGAGCUUCAGCCAACCUCAAGCAGUCAUUUCUAAUGCAGCUAAAGGAAGUGUUAUUCAGUGAGUGUUGCUUCAACUGCCAGAUACUAAAAGCCCUUCAGAAUAAGACUUAAGAGCAACUAAAAGGAUACUACAGGUCUUUCAUGAAGAUAGAGAGCAGAGGCAGAGUUUUUGCGAGUUGCUGCGUGCUCUUUCAUGGCCACGUCCAUGAGUUACCUGACUACAUAGUGGCUCUCUAGUCUUUCCCAGAGGGCAAAGAAAUGAAACAUAACACAUUUUAGAAAGUGUUUGUGUAGGGUGGAUGGAUUUUGAUGGCUGCUGCAGGAGUGGAGUAUUUGUUGUUGCUGUGGAAAUGUGUUGCUGGGGUUUAUAUUUUAGUGUGGUAUGCCUUCAUCAGGUAGUUUGUAUGCUUGGAAUAAAAGUUUAGCAAAGCUGGAAGUGCAAAUUUGGAGGAAAAAGGCAGAAUCUAAUGGAUUGUGACAUCUAUUAAAUAAAAUCCUUCACUUCUCCUAGGUAAGGAUAAUGUGAUGAUCACAGCUUCUAUGCAUGAUUUUUCUAAUGAAAAAACCCCUAAUGAAAUAUGCAAUGUGUUUUGCAAAGGCCAUUUGGCCUACUUUGACUCUUAAAAUCUUAAAUAUCUACAUAUCUUAAGUAUCUAAAUUAUUGAAAAGAACGCUUAUUGUGGGGGGAUUUUUUUUUUUGUUGGUUUGGGGUUUUUUUUGUCCAUUUUGGUGGAUGACUAAAUAAAACUAUUACUGCUCUUCACCAGUGUUGCCUCUCAACACCAUUAUGGCCACAGCACUACUAUAAAACUUAUUC
rnacentral:lncRNA from 12 species